UACAAAAGUGAUCAUUUAAAUAAUUAAAUAACCACCGGCCUUCAUUAAGUAAUCCAAUAAGGUUUCAUACAAACCCAAGACCACAUCUUUUGGUCCAACUUUCCUUAAACCCAAUCCAAUUAAUUUAAAUAAAUAAGAUAAUUAAUUAAAUACUAAAAUUAAAAUAACUAAUUACAUGAAGUACAUAAACAAACAAGAAUUUACAACUAAGUCACACAAUACCAAUAAAAUCAACACACCAAUAAUUCAAUCAAUAAUCAACCACACAAACAAUCAAUCAUCAUACAUAAUCACGAAAUAUAACUUAAUUAAAAUAAGAUAAUUAAUCUAGCACUCAAUAAAAUAAAAUAAAUCAUUGAAAAAUAAAAUAAAAUAAUUAAUCCUAAUUAAUAAAUCCUUUAAAAAUAUCGGGGUAUGACAGAUUUGUUUAUUUGUUUUUCUUAGUUUAUAUUUGUGAUAUAUCUAAAUAUGUUUAUCUAUAUGUGGAUUUAGGCAGCAUGGAGAACAUUUUCUGCCUUUUUAUGAGACUGCUGCUUGUGUUCGCCUCUUUUUUUUUUUUUUUUUUCUUCGUGUUUUUGUUAGUUUACAAGGAAAUGGACUCAUUAAAGGACAGGUCCAGUGGUGUGGCUGAGCAGUGGAACUUUCUAUUCUCAUACUAACACAUGGUUUUUAUUUCAUUUCAUCAGACCUCGCCGGGCAGGGCAAAGGGGAAGGAAGGGAUGAGUGGUCUGGGACAACAAUGGGAGAGGCCUCGUAGCUCCUGGCUGCUUGAAGGCGGUAUAUCAUUUUGAAGGAACUUUUGCAGCAGCAGUUUGCUUAUAGAGAGUUGACUGCAGUUUUUUUUUUUUUUUUUCAA